UGCCGGCGGGGGCUGGUGGGGGGCAUUGGGCCGGGGGAGCCGGUCCCCGCGCUCAGGGAGCUCUGACUCGCUCUUCCUUCUCUCUCAGCCCACGAAGCCUGUGAAGAGAAGCCUUGCAGCUCUCCGAGGGAGCAAUGCCCCCAGCAGCACCUGAAUCAAAGACCAGACUGUAGGUUCACGGAGCAAGGGAAACGCCUUGCCCCGGAGAGCCUUUCAUCUGCCCACCCACCUGCAAAAUAUAAAACAUCGUGACCAGGAGGAAACGAUUCAGCGUCCUGCUGCCCAUCAGACAACUUCGAGGCUAAGAGGCUGCUCUUUUAUUGGAGCCUGACUGCACAGCAUGAGCUUUUCCAACCAGGCGAUCUCACGACCUCUUGGGCUCCUCUGUGACGUGCACAUUUUCAUUUCUACCUCGAGACAUUUGGCACUCUUGGAGAGAAACCCCCAGUUUUUCUUUUCUUUUUUUAGUUUAAAAAUACUCUCCUCCCCUUCCCCUAA